UCAACCGAUGAGUUAAAUGACGGCUGCAA
rnacentral:sRNA from 1 species